UGUACUCUGUCACUGGCAGGUUCUUGUCCUGUUUGAAACACCAAAGAAGGCAGAAUUUUCAGUGCUGGUGGUUUGUGGAAAAAAAGAAAAAAAGCUACGGAGGACGUUUUACGUUGGGCAGAGAUUUCAGGCUGCAGCAAGAUCCAGCCUGUGCACUUGUGAAAGGCUGUGCUCUCCUCUGGGGCUGGAGGAAGACAAAGGCACCAUUCAAGGAUGAGCUCCAACCCAGAACCCAUUCUGAACAGGAACCUGACCAUCUUGUCUUGGAGGCUUGGUGUGAGAACCAUAUGGAAGGGAAGAAGUAUCCUAGACCCAAGAUGCAAGUUCAUGGAUUGUAGAGGAAGACAGGAGGCCAAACACUGAAACAGCAUCUAACAGAAGUGCACACUGGGUCAAAAUUUCCACUUCUAUUUGGUCGAAUUUCCAACAUAAAUUAAACCAUUUUCUCGAAGUCGUGGCUUUUCCCAUUGGUAAGCUAUGAAUCUUCCCUCACAGUUAAUUCACUAUUUUCAGUUAGUUACAAUCGCUCAUAGGCUGCACAAUCUCUGAGCACAUUAGAGCCAUAGUAGAACUGUCUGGCAUUUGUAAACAGACAACACUUGGGACUUUGUAAUACUCUAACUCAGUGCACUAGUGUGCCAAAA
rnacentral:lncRNA from 12 species